UGUGUAGGCGGUCCUCUAAGUUUGGUGUGAAAUCUCCCGGCUCAACCGGGAGGGUGCGCCGAAAACUGGAGGGCUAGAGUGCGGGAAGGGAGAGUAGAAUUCCUGGUGUAGCGGUGAAAUGCGUAGAUAUCAGGAGGAAUACCGGUGGUGCAGACGGCUCUCUGGACCGUAACUGACCCGCUGAGACACGAAAGCGUGGGUAGCAAACAGGAUUAGAUACCCUGGUAGUCCACGCCCUAAACGAUGCAUAUUUGGUGUAGGUCAUUCAGUUGAUCUGUGCCGGAGCUAACGCGUUAAAUAUGCCGCCUGGGGAGUACAGUCGCAAGGCUGAA
rnacentral:rRNA from 1 species